rnacentral:rRNA from 1 species
GUGAAAGUUGGGUUUACCUAACACUACAUGUUGGGCCCGCGUCGCAUUAGCUAGUUGGUAAGGUAACGGCUUACCAAGGSGACGAUGCGUAGCCGACCUGAGAGGGUGAUCGGCCACACUGGGACUGAGACACGGCCCAGACUCCUACGGGAGGCAGCAGUAGGGAAUCUUCCGCAAUGGACGAAAGUYUGAMGGAGCAACGCCGCGUGAGCGAUGAAGGYCUUCGGGUCGKAAAGCUCUGUUGUUAGGGAAGAACAAGUGCUAUUCGAAAAGGGCGGCACCUUGACGGUACCUAACGAGAAAGCCACGGCUAACUACGUGCCAGCAGCCGCGGUAAUACGUAGGUGGCAAGCGUUGUCCGGAAUUAUUGGGCGUAAAGCGCGCGCAGGCGGUCUCUUAAGUCUGAUGUGAAAGCCCACGGCUCAACCGUGGAGGGUCAUUGGAAAACUGGGAGACUUGAGUACAGAAGAGGAGAGUGGAAUUCCAUGUGUAGCGGUGAAAUGCGUAGAUAUAUGGAGGAACACCAGUGGCGAAGGCGACUCUCUGGUCUGUAACUG